rnacentral:rRNA from 1 species
GACGAACGCUGGCGGCGUGCUUAACACAUGCAAGUCGAACGAUGAACUUGGAGCUUGCUCUGGAGGAUUAGUGGCGAACGGGUGAGUAACACGUGAGUAACCUGCCCUGGACUCUGGGAUAACUUCGAGAAAUCGGAGCUAAUACCGGAUAGGACCUUGCACCGCAUGGUGUGGGGUGGAAAGUUUGUCGGUUUGGGAUGGACUCGCGGCCUAUCAGCUUGUUGGUGAGGUAAUGGCUCAACAAGGCGUCGACGGGUAGCCGGCCUGAGAUGGUGACCGGCCACACUGGGACUGAGACACGGCCCAGACUCCUACGGGAGGCAGCAGUGGGGAAUAUUGCACAAUGGGCGCAAGCCUGAUGCAGCAACGCCGCGUGCGGGAUGACGGCCUUCGGGUUGUAAACCGCUUUUAGUAGGGAAGAAGCCUUCGGGUGACGGUACCUGCAGAAAAAGGACCGGCUAACUACGUGCCAGCAGCCGCAGUAACAC